GGACUGCUCCAGCAGAAGCUGCAAAACGCUGCGCGCGCUAAAAACUUUUGGGCGCGCGCUAAAAAACGCUAUCGCGCGCAUCAUAUUUGGUGCGCCGGCUUGCGCGCGCAGCAAACUCUGAGCGGCUGCAGAUGGGACCGCUGAAUCGGACUGGAUUGAACGCCGCACUAGCGCGCGUCUGUUGGAGAUGCUCCGGUCCCCGCGCUUCAAAACUGCUACAGUGACGCGCUAAAAAAUUUAUUAGGC
rnacentral:lncRNA from 1 species